UUUUUUUUUUUUUGGCCACACCUGUGGUACAUGGAAGUUCCCAGGCCAGGUAUUGAACCCAUGCCACUGCAGAGACAACACUGGAUCCUCAACCCACUGAGCCACAGUGAGAACUCCCUUCUUUAAAACUCUCCAGUGGCCUCAUUUGGCAUACGCUUUGCCACGGACUUCAGGUCCCUGAACGAUCUGGCCCUUUCCUGGCCUUUUGAAUUCACCUCCUCCUACUUUUUUCAAGUUCACAAGGCUGCAGCCUCAAGGCCUUCCUUCCAAAUGUCACCAGUCGCUCUUGUAUGGGAGUGUUGGCCACUGCUGCUUUUUGCACAGCUGACUACUCCUCACGGCCAAGGUUUCACGUGGGCCAGCACUUCCUUGAUGGUCUGUUUACACGUUUCACCAUCAUCCCGGGUCACAAGCUCCUCAGCCUGUUUUGAAGCCUUCAAAGCUCUUAUCACCCUUGGAGAGAGCCUUGUUCAUUUUCUUUCUUUGUGCCAGAUGACAGGCUAGUCCUGCCGGGAGCUGGGGCUGCCUCAACUUGCUCUGUCUUUCCUAAGUACCCGACACUUGGAAGGCCAUCGCCACCUAUUUGCUGACUUGAAUGGAUGGAAUCCUAUACAAAGUUAUUCUUCCUCUAAUAUCUGAAAUUCUACCAUUAGCAACGUAUUCCUUUUUUUUUUUUUUUUGCCUUUUGUCCUUUUAGGGCCACACCCACAGCGGCUGUGGAGGUUCCCAGGCUAGGGGUCGAAUCGGAGCUAUAGCCACCGGCCUACGCCAGAGCCACAGCUAUGCGGGAUCCGAGCCGCGUCUGCAACCUACACCACAGCUCACGGCAACGCCGGAUCCUUAACCCACUGAGCAAGGGCAGGGACCGAACCCGCAACCUCGUGGUUCCUAGUCGUAUUCGUUAACCACUGCGCCACGACGGGAACUCCCAUGCACAACUUUAAUGCAUUUGUUCAUCUUACAACACAGUCAAAAUCAGAAUAACACUAUGCAACCUGGAAUAGAUUCAUGGAGUUUAGAGAACAUUAUCUUUGUUCCUCUCACUUUUAGAUGGUGGAACAGAGGCCAAGAGGGGUUGAGUAACUUGUUCAGUAAUAAAGACAUGAUGUAUUAAAAACAGGAAAAUAAUCCAAGGUUUCUGGACAUGCAAGGAAGGUCUCUUUUCACUUUACCUUCUUAUUUCAUAGGGGAGACAGAUUUCAGUGGGUAGGGAACAAGGGACUUGGGGGUCUGAUGAGAACACUGAAGGAUCAGAUGGAAAGCUGGCAGGCACAAUCUCAAAAGCAUGACAAACCCCAGUUCCUGCAAAAUGAGGUCAAAUAGCCCCACUUAGGCUGUAGGGACUCAGGGGCAUCCUUUAGUUGAGCCAAGGGCAGCCCAAUACCUGAUAUUCACGACUCUGACCCUGAGUCAGAAAUCCAAGAUGAAAUCGUGUUUCUCAUAUUCUACUGAAGGAGGUAGGGAAGGGUUCCAUGCACUCUCAGGGACAUUCCUAUGCAAAAUGGUUAAAAUAAAUAUAUCAUUUGAUGUGCAAAGGGAUAAGCUUCAGUUAUGUGGAAAACACAUUCACACGGAACAGUCCGCGCCAAAUGAGGCAUUGCAGUAUUUGCAAAAUGUUCAGCAUGUCCUCCGAGUCUUGGCUACUCUGAGGUUUCUACUAAAUGAAAAAUGAGCUUUACUUGUGUCUAAAUCUGAGCUUAAGUGCACUCUCUAAAACCUUCCUGGGAAUUUUUUGGACAGGUGUCUCUUUUCAAACAGCAUAAUAUUUGGACAUUACAUUUUAAAUAUGUGCAGAUAAAAAUGAUAUUCCAAAUCUGUAUUUCACUUAUAACCAGAUGGGAUAACAGUAGUGAGAGUUACCGAGAGACAGUCCUUCAUGGAAAAAUAAUGGAAAUAGAACCUAACCUCUUCCUAACCCCGCCUGGAGGUUUGUGGCUACGAGUUCUAGAGCGAACAUCAUAUUCU
rnacentral:lncRNA from 1 species